rnacentral:tRNA from 1 species
GGCUGGUUAGCUCAGUCGGUUGAGCAUGGCGCUGACAACGUCAAGCCCGUGGGUUUGAUUCUCGUUCGGUCC